CCUACGGGUGGCAGCAGUGAGGAAUAUUGGUCAAUGGGAGGAAUCCUGAACCAGCCAUGCCGCGUGCAGGACGACGGCUCUACGAGUUGUAAACUGCUUUUGUACCGGGGUAAAAUGCUCUACGUGUAGGGUUUUGAAAGUACGGUACGAAUAAGGAUCGGCUAACUCCGUGCCAGCAGCCGCGGUAAUACGGAGGAUCCGAGCGUUAUCCGGAUUCAUUGGGUUUAAAGGGUGCGUAGGUUGUUUUAUAAGUUAGCGGUGAAAUACCGAUGCUCAACAUCGGGGCUGCCGUUGAUACUGGAGGACUGGAGUUGGGGUGCAGCAGGCGGAAUGUGUGGUGUAGCGGUGAAAUGCAUAGAUAUUACACAGAACACCGAUUGCGAAGGCAGCUUGCCAGGUCGGCUCUGACACUGAUGCACGAAAGCGUGGGUAUCGAACAGGAUUAGAUACCCUGGUAGUC
rnacentral:rRNA from 1 species